UUCUGAGUGGCUGAGAUAUUAGGCUUUAAACUUUUAAUUUAACUUACGGUUAUCACUAACCCUCAGAAU
rnacentral:tRNA from 1 species